rnacentral:rRNA from 1 species
CCUACGGGUGGCUGCAGUCGAGGAUCUUCGGCAAUGGGGGAAACCCUGACCGAGCGACGCCGCGUGGGCGACGAAGGCCUUCGGGUUGUAAAGCCCUGUCGAGGGGGAGAAAGCCUUAACCGGGUGAUCCAUCCCUGGAGGAAGCACGGGCUAAGUUCGUGCCAGCAGCCGCGGUAAGACGAACCGUGCGAACGUUGUUCGGAAUCACUGGGCUUAAAGGGCGCGUAGGCGGGUUGCCGCGUCCGGGGUGAAAUCCCACGGCUCAACCGUGGGGCGGCCCCGGGUACGGGCGGCCUCGAGGGGGGUAGGGGCACGCGGAACUCUGGGUGGAGCGGUGAAAUGCGUUGAUAUCCAGAGGAACUCCGGUGGCGAAGGCGGCGUGCUGGACCCGCCCUGACGCUGAGGCGCGAAAGCCAGGGGAGCGAACGGGAUUAGAUACCCGAGUAGUCC